AGAUUGAACGCUGGCGGCAGGCCUAACACAUGCAAGUCGAGCGGUAGAGAGGUGCUUGCACCUCUUGAGAGCGGCGGACGGGUGAGUAAUGCCUAGGAAUCCGCCUAGUGGUGGGGGAUAACGUUCGGAAACGGACGCUAAUACCGCAUACGUCCUACGGGAGAAAGCGGGGGACCUUCGGGCCUCGCGCCAUUAGAUGAGCCUAGGUCGGAUUAGCUAGUUGGUGAGGUAAUGGCUCACCAAGGCGACGAUCCGUAACUGGUCUGAGAGGAUGAUCAGUCACACUGGAACUGAGACACGGUCCAGACUCCUACGGGAGCAGCAGUGGGAAUAGUUGGACAAUGGGACGAAAAG
rnacentral:rRNA from 1 species